rnacentral:rRNA from 1 species
AGUGAACGCUGGCGGUAGGCCUAACACAUGCAAGUCGAACGGCAGCACAGUAAGAGCUUGCUCUUACGGGUGGCGAGUGGCGGACGGGUGAGGUAUACAUCGGAAUCUACUUUUUCGUGGGGGAUAACGUAGGGAAACUUACGCUAAUACCGCAUACGACCUACGGGUGAAAGCAGGGGAUCUUCGGACCUUGCGCGAUUGAAUGAGCCGAUGUCGGUUUAGCUAGUUGGCGGGGUAAAGGCCCACCAAGGCGACGAUCCGUUGCUGGUCUGAGAGGAUGUUCCGCCACACUGGAAGUGAGACACGGUCCUGACUCCUACGGGAGGCAGCAGUGGGGAAUAUUGGACAAUGGGCGGAAGCCUGAUCCAGCCGUACCGCGUGGGUGAAGAAGGCCUUCGGGUUGUAAAGCCCUUUUGUUGUGGAAGAAAAGCAGCAGGUUAAUACCCCGCUGUGCUGACGGUACCCAAAGAAGAAGCACCGGCUAACUUCGUG